AUGCAAGUCGACGGUAACAGGCCCUUCGGGGUGCUGACGAGUGGCGGACGGGUGAGUAACGCGUAGGAAUUUGCCCAGUAGUGGGGGACAACUUGGGGAAACCCAAGCUAAUACCGCAUACGCCCUACGGGGGAAAGCGGGGGAUCUUCGGACCUCGUGCUAUUGGAUGAGCCUGCGUCGGAUUAGCUAGUUGGUAGGGUAAAGGCCUACCAAGGCGACGAUCCGUAGCUGGUUUGAGAGAACGAUCAGCCACACUGGGACUGAGACACGGCCCAGACUCCUACGGGAGGCAGCAGUGGGGAAUAUUGCACAAUGGGCGCAAGCCUGAUGCAGCAAUGCCGCGUGUGUGAAGAAGGCCUGCGGGUUGUAAAGCACUUUCAAUUGGGAAGAAAAGGUUAGGGUUAAUACCCCUGAUUCUUGACGUUACCUUUAGAAGAAGCACCGGCUAACUCCGUG
rnacentral:rRNA from 1 species